rnacentral:tRNA from 1 species
AAGGGUAUAAGCUCAGUGGUAGAGUGUGUACUCAGUAUGUACGAGGUUCUGGGUUCAAUCCCCAGUACCUCCA